GUCCAGUGUUGCAUUAUUGGGCAGUCCA
rnacentral:sRNA from 1 species